CCUACGGGUGGCAGCAGUAGCGAAUAUUGCUCAAUGGGGGAAACUCUGAAGCAGCAACGCCGCGUGGGGGAAGAAGGUUUUCGGAUUGUAAACCUCUUUUGUUAGAGAAGAUAAAGACGGUAUGUAACGAAUAAUCCCCGGCUAAUACCGUACCAGCAGCCGCGGUAAUACGGAGGGUGCAAGCGUUACUCGGAAUCACUGGGCGGAAAGCGCGCGUAGGCGGGAUAGCAAGUCAGAUGUGAAAGCCUAUGGCUUAACCAGAGAUGUGCAUUUGAAACUGUUAGUCUGGAGUGUGGAAGAGGUAGGUGGAAUUCUUGGUGUAGCGGUAAAAUGCGUAGAGAUCAAGAGGAAUACUCAUUGCGAAGGCGGCCUGCUAGAACAUAACUGACGCUGAGGCUCGAAAGCGUGGGGAGCAAACAGGAUUAGAUACCCGGGUAGUC
rnacentral:rRNA from 1 species